rnacentral:rRNA from 1 species
UACGUAGGGUGCGAGCGUUGUCCGGAAUUAUUGGGCGUAAAGAGCUUGUAGGCGGUUUGUCGCGUCUGCUGUGAAAAUCCGGGACUCAACCCCGGACCUGCAGUGGGUACGGGCAGACUAGAGUGCGGUAGGGGAGAAUGGAACUCCUGGUGUAGCGGUGGAAUGCGCAGAUAUCAGGAAGAACACCGAUGGCGAAGGCAGUUCUCUGGGCCGUAACUGACGCUGAGGAGCGAAAGCGUGGGGAGCGAACAGG